CCGCAUCUACUGAUAGACCUUGAACAGUCCUCCGGUGUUCUUCCGGUUUGCACGAAGAUGCGAAAGAAAGUCUCCUCCCGUUUCCUGCCUGCCUCGCGUGGCAGCCCAGAUUGAAUGGGGGAGUACACGU